GUGAAAUCCAAGCUAUAGGGUCACGAGGCAAAGAAAAGAGAAUGGUUUUGUUGAAGUUUUGCUUUAGUGAACGCUAAGGCUGAAAUCAGAAAUGUGUUUAACGGCUGAACAAACCCUUAAUUUGCGUUGCUGUAAAGAAAAUUUGAAGCCCUUGAAAGAUUGGUGCUGGUUAAUAGUAGAAGCAAUGUCAACGUCUUCUUUGGGAGUUGUGCGUUUCCAUAGAGGUGCAGGCAAGCUGUCUUAUUUGUGAAGCUUGGUUCUGAAUGGGAUUGAUUCAACUGUUUGGUCUGUUCUAUUCGUAUCUACACGUUGUGUUUUGUACCCGUUAGGCAAAUAAAUACAUCUUUCAGCUGA